GCCUUCAGCAGUUCCGCCAAUCGUCGUCGUUCUGGGUCAGGUAGUUGAGACCCGACCCAUACCUUUCAGUCGGGAUUCUCCGCUACCAAGAUGGGAAUGAGCUGUUCGGCCGGUUUACCCCGUUCUUCCUCCUCCCGUUGGUCUAGCUUGUCGAUCGUUAGGGAGCCCUUCAACUCCUCGCUUUGAGCGGAGAUCUGGAAGCAUCGGCGAGCGAGC
rnacentral:lncRNA from 1 species